AAAAAAAUACCUAUGUUGGAGGAUUUCUGCCUCUGUGAAAAUGCAUAUGCAGCCCCACACAGCCAACAAGGGAUGUCGACUUAAACAGCCAUGUGCCAUAAGACAUUUCCUUUUUGGAUUAGGAAUUCUCAAGGUAACAGCAAACUUUUACCCAGCUUUUAUUUGUCAAAAUGCUUGUUGAAAUUAAGUGUUGACCAGGUAAAUAGGCAAAUUGUACACUGGAUUGUCAAAGUACACCUUGCAGCAGCAGCUUGAGUAACUAUAAAAGAUAUAUAUUGAUAAUGUACAAUGAGAGAACGUCUAUGUGAUAGAACUUUUUUUUGCCACAGUUGUAUUUUAAGAGCAAUCAGAGGCAGUUGCUAGGCGGAACCAUAGACUGGGCGGAACAGAGUCAGGUGGUCAAUUGGCACCGUCACCGGUCAUGACCUUCGGGGAGGAGCAUAGAGAGGCGAAGAAACGAAAUGGGGAAACAGAUUAAAACCAAGGUUUGAACCGUCACCUCGGUUUGUCAUAAUGUGAAAAAACGUAAUUAGCGAAGAAGCCUGGAUGCCAAAACAAGCUUUGAAGCUGCUUUUUUGUCGAACACGAGUGGGACUGGACGCUGAAGACACAUGCGGCGCGAAGGUGAGGCUAAGGAGUGAACUAGCUAGCGUUAGCAUAUGCUUUAGCGGCGAGCGUUAGCAUUAGCCUUCUCGGUGCGUUCGAGAUCAACUGCGGCUGGCUGCGCCUGACUUGAUGGUCAAACAUAAACUGUCGCUGACUGCUGGGAAACGACUGCAGUCAAGUCGUACACACUUCCCGCAGCGAGACUGAGCAACGGCAUUUGACUUUUACCAGUUGUUCUCGUAGUUCAUAUAUCGAUCUCAUUGUGGAAACCCCGCACAGCUGUUAUGUGCUUUCUGUUUAAAAAUAUGAUGGUUCUCCUCAGCAUGUCAGACUGUUUAGUAAACCUUAUACACGCCUUUUACUCAGCCAACGAUAUGUUUUCUAAACAUUUAAGGCUUGAAAAAUAAAAGUAUGAAUCCAGGGCGAUGUGUUCGGGUGUAUGGUGUAAAAGUUACACAUGGAGAGCAACAUUUUAUUUUACAUAUCUGUUUUAUUAAGAGCUAUAAUGUUAAAUAUUUAUCUGUGUUUUCAUGGUUUAACUGUUGAUGAGGAAUAGGUAGUAGUAUAUUGAUAAUUUUCAUUUGUAUGUUUCUCUUUGAUUUCCUCCAGGUGUCAUCACUUCGUCCAAGACAUCAUCCACGAUUGCAGAGACGACGUCCAUGAUCGGAGAGACGUUGAGGAUGAGGGAGACACUGUCCACAAUCAGAGACGUUGUCAAAGAUGAGAGAGGCGUUGUCCAUGACUCACAGAGACCUGCGUAAGAAUCAGUGGUGGCGGGGUCCCCAAUUCGACAGGAUCGCCCGCAAUCAGAGAGACAUUGCCGAUGAUCACAGAGACACGGUCUAUGAUCUCAGAGACAUCGUCCAUAAUCUCAGAGACAGAGGACAAAGGCCUCCAGGUGUCACCACUUCGUCCACGACAUCGUCCACGAUCGCAGAGACAUGGUCCAUGAUCGGAGAGACAUUGUUGAGGAUGAGGGAGACAUCGUCCUCGAUCAGAGACAUUGUCCACGAUCGCUGAGACCUUGUCAAAGAUGAGAGAGACGUUGUCCAUGAUCAGAGACAUUGUCCCAUGCUUCGUAGAGACCUUGCGAUAGAAUCGGCGGAGACGGGGGUCACCGAUUUGACGGCAUUGCCCGCGAUCAUGGAGACAUUGUCGAUGAUCACAGAGACGCCGUCUAUGAUCUCAGAGACAUCGUCCACGAUCGCAAAGACAUUGGCCAUGAUCACAGAGACUUUGUCCAUAAUCUCAGAGACAUUGUCCGCGAUCACAGAGAUGUAGUCCACGAUCAUAGAGCAUCUUCGUACAAUGAAGAAGUUCUUUGAGACCAGGACGGAGGCGGAGGCCUGCAGGUGUCACCACUUCGUCCACGACAUCGUCCACGAUCGCAGAGACAUGGUCCAUGAUCGGAGAGACAUUGUUGAGGAUGAGGGAGACAUCGUCCUCGAUCAGAGACAUUGUCCACGAUCGCAGAGACCUUGUCAAAGAUGAGAGAGACGUUGUCCAUGAUCAGAGACAUUGUCCCAUGCUUCGUAGAGACCUUGCGAUAGAAUCGGCGGAGACGGGGGUCACCGAUUUGACGGCAUUGCCCGCGAUCAUGGAGAUAUUGUCGAUGAUCACAGAGACGCCGUCUAUGAUCUCAGAGACAUCGUCCACGAUCGUAAAGACAUUGGCCAUGAUCGCAGAGACUUUGUCCAUAAUCUCAGAGACAUUGUCCGCGAUCACAGAGACGUAGUCCACGAUCAUAGAGCAUCUUCGUACAAUGAAGAAGUUCUUUGAGACCAGGACGGAGGCCUGCAGGAGAAGACGACAGCAGCUGAGGACCUGACAUGGAUGAAAGAAAACAAAAGUGUUACGAAGCUGUUAAUUAGAUAAAAAACCUCCACCAUGUAAGUGUAGUAAGUGUAAACAGUAUUGGUUCCCUUCUCGGCCAUCUGUAAUGUAGUCUUUGGCACAUUUUCCACACAGUAAUAUGUCUUUAUUAAACACCUGUAAGAACAUUCAACUGCUUAUGAUACAACUAUUUAAUUAAUAAUUGUAUCACAAGCAGUCAGUGAUCAUAAAGAUGCUUAGUAGACAUGUUUAUCUUUGGAAAAUGUGCACAUAACUACAUUAACCCUAAACAGCUCUAACAAGUGUUUCCUUGUGGUCAAAUGUUGUCUGGAAUAAAAUCAUUAAAAGUGUCUUCCUAAACUUUUGAGUUGCAUUUCAUCAGAUAUUUUUAAGGAUUCUUAAUUCAUUUUUUAAAAGUUCCAUACUUACAUUUUAGUUUUAAAUAUGUUCUUUUUAUGUUUUAAAUAUAUUUUUAAAAGGGUUUAUACCUGUACUUUUUUAGACGUAUUGUUUGGGGUCGAGUACUUAUUGUUCAGACAUUUUUAAAGGUUUUAAAUAUAUAUAUUUUCAGUGGCUGAAUAUUUAAAGGUUUUAACCUUAUUUAUCAAUCCUGUUGUUUUGUUAAGGUUUUUUAAAUGUUUUAUCCUUAUUAUUUAGACCUAUUCCUUUAAGGUUUGAAAUGUAUUUUUAAAUGAUUUUAUACUUACUUUUUAGAGCUAUUAAUUUAAGAUUUUAGAUGUAUUUUUUUUAAAGGGUUUAGAUUUAUUUUAACACAUAUUUUUAGACUUAUUUUUUGCAGCUACAUUAUUGAAAAAUAUUAAUUAAUACCAAUUAACUGAUAAGAUAACAGAGAUUCACUGAUAAGUUAGGGCAGCUUUAAUUUGUUGCUAUUUGUUCCAGACAAGAGGUUUUAAAGUGUCAGACAGCAGCUGAGAUAAUGACAGUCAGACUGAAAAGAAUAAAC